rnacentral:pre_miRNA from 1 species
GGAGGUUAUUAAUAUCGUGAAUACAAUUCUGUUCAGUGCCGUAUGUGUUGUGCCUGGUUGUGUUGUAUUUUGUACCUUUAA